rnacentral:rRNA from 1 species
AACGAACGCUGGCGGCGUGGCUAAGGCAUGCAAGUCGAACGAACAUAUCCCAAGGGUAACUGAGGGGUAUGUUAGUGGCGAACGGGUGAGGAAUACAUGGACAACGUACCCUGGACGCGGGGAUAGCGGCGGGCCGCAAGGCUCUUUAGCGAAAGUGCCGGUAAUACCCGAUGAUCCCGCGUGAUCGCAUGAUCGUGCGGGCAAAGCUCCGACGGUCUAGGAUCGGUUCAUGCCCUAUCAGCUAGUUGGUGAGGUAACGGCUCACCAAGGCGGCGACGGGUACCGGGCGUGAGAGCGUGACCCGGCACAUCGGAACUGAGAUACGGUCCGGACACCUACGGGUGGCUGCAGCAACGAAUAUUCCGCAAUGGACGCAAGUCUGACGGAGCGACGCCGCGUGUAGGAUG